rnacentral:rRNA from 1 species
GACGAACGCUGGCGGCGUGCCUAAUACAUGCAAGUUGAUCGCUGAAGGUUGGUACUUGUACCAACUGGAUGAGCAGCGAACGGGUGAGUAACGCGUGGGGAAUCUGCCUUUGAGCGGGGGACAACAUUUGGAAACGAAUGCUAAUACCGCAUAAAAACUUUAAACACAAGUUUUAAGUUUGAAAGAUGCAAUUGCAUCACUCAAAGAUGAUCCCGCGUUGUAUUAGCUAGUUGGUGAGGUAAAGGCUCACCAAGGCGAUGAUACAUAGCCGACCUGAGAGGGUGAUCGGCCACAUUGGGACUGAGACACGGCCCAAACUCCUACGGGAGGCAGCAGUAGGGAAUCUUCGGCAAUGGACGAAAGUCUGACCGAGCAACGCCGCGUGAGUGAAGAAGGUUUUCGGAUCGUAAAACUCUGUUGGUAGAGAAGAACGUUGGUGAGAGUGGAAAGCUCAUCAAGUGACGGUAACUACCCAGAAAGGGACGGCUAACUACGUG